CCUACGGGGGGCAGCAGUGAGGAAUAUUGGUCAAUGGCCGAGAGGCUGAACCAGCCAAGUCGCGUGAGGGAAGACGGCCCUACGGGUUGUAAACCUCUUUUGUCGGGGAGCAAAGCGAACCACGUGUGGUUCAUUGAGAGUACCCGAAGAAAAAGCAUCGGCUAACUCCGUGCCAGCAGCCGCGGUAAUACGGAGGAUGCGAGCGUUAUCCGGAUUUAUUGGGUUUAAAGGGUGCGUAGGCGGAAUGCCAAGUCAGCGGUAAAAUCGCGGGGCUCAACCUCGCUCCGCCGUUGAAACUGGCGUUU
rnacentral:rRNA from 1 species